UGGGGGAUUUUGGACAAUGGGCGCAAGCCUGAUCCAGCAAUGCCGCGUGCAGGAUGAAGGCCUUCGGGUUGUAAACUGCUUUUGUACGGAACGAAAAGCUUCUGGUUAAUACCUGGGAGUCAUGACGGUACCGUAAGAAUAAGCACCGGCUAACUACGUGCCAGCAGCCGCGGUAAUACGUAGGGUGCGAGCGUUAAUCGGAAUUACUGGGCGUAAAGCGUGCGCAGGCGGUUUUGUAAGUCUGAUGUGAAAUCCCCGGGCUCAACCUGGGAAUUGCAUUGGAGACUGCAAGGCUAGAAUCUGGCAGAGGGGGGUAGAAUUCCACGUGUAGCAGUGAAAUGCGUAGAUAUGUGGAGGAACACCGGUGGCGAAGGCAAUCCCCUGGGCCUGCACUGACGCUCAUGCACGAAAGCGUGGGGAGCAAACA
rnacentral:rRNA from 1 species